AUUAUUAAAAUCUUAUUUCAUAAGCUACAACAGAGUAAACCAACGAUCAACAAUUUAUUGUUGACUGAUGGUAUCAACCAAUUAAAAAUACAGGUUGUAGAACUAAUUUACAGUGAAAUUUUUUAAAUAAAAUAAACUACAUUUUGAACAUUGUUCAUCCCUGGUAUACAUAGGCAGGGGAUUUAUUGUAUGGACAAUGGACAACACUUCUGCUGCCCCAACAAACUACCAACUUCCGUCCUUCGACAUUCUCAGGAAAUGAGACAGAGUGAUCUUUGGGAGCUCAGGAGAACCCUUUUUCUUUUUCUG
rnacentral:lncRNA from 1 species